rnacentral:rRNA from 1 species
UCCAGACUCCUACGGGAGGCAGCAGUGGGGAAUAUUGCACAAUGGGGGAAGCCCUGAUGCAGCAACGCCGCGUGAAGGAAGACGGUUUUCGGAUUGUAAACUUCUGUUCUUAGUGAAGAAGAAUGACGGUAGCUAAGGAGCAAGCCACGGCUAACUACGUGCCAGCAGCCGCGGUAAUACGUAGGUGGCAAGCGUUAUCCGGAAUUAUUGGGCGUAAAGAGUACGUAGGUGGCAACCUAAGCGCAGGGUUUAAGGCAAUGGCUCAACCAUUGUUCGCCCUGCGAACUGGGAUGCUUGAGUGCAGGAGAGGAAAGCGGAAUUCCUAGUGUAGCGGUGAAAUGCGUAGAUAUUAGGAGGAACACCAGUGGCGAAGGCGGCUUUCUGGACUGUAACUGACACUGAGGUACGAAAGCGUGGGGAGCAAACAGGAUUAGAUACCCUGGUAAAA